rnacentral:rRNA from 1 species
CACGUAGUUAGCCGGUGCUUCUUCUCCACGGUACCGUCACCCACCAGGUGGGCUUCGUCCCGGGCGAAAGGAGUUUACAACCCGAAGGCCUUCCAUCCCCCACGCGGCGUCGCUGCAUCAGGCUUGCGCCCAUUGUGCAAUAUUCCCCACUGCUGCCUCCCGUAGGAGUCUGGGCCGUGUCCCAGUCCCAAUGUGGCCGUCCACCCUCUCAGGCCGGCUACCCGUCGCCGCCUUGGUAGGCCAUUACCCCACCAACAAGCUGAUAGGCCGCGGGCUCAUCCCACACCGCAAAAGCUUUCCACCACACUGUCUACAGUGUGGUCGUAUGUGGUAUUAGACCCAGUUUCCCAGGCUUAUCCCACAGUGCGGGGCAGAUCACCCACGUGUUACUCACCCGUUCGCCACUCGAGUACCCACCACCAAAGGUGGUGGGCCUUUCCGUUCGACUUGCAUGUGUUAAGCACGCCGCCAGCGUUCGUCCUGAGCCAGGAUCAAACUCU